CAGCGUGUAGCUAAACACAGAUACAGCGUCUCCGUUACACUGAGAAGGUUGCCCGUGCAAACCGGGUCGCGCUGA
rnacentral:tRNA from 1 species